rnacentral:rRNA from 1 species
CCUACGGGAGGCAGCAGUGGGGAAUUUUGGACAAUGGGCGCAAGCCUGAUCCAGCCAUGCCGCGUGCAGGAUGAAGGCCUUCGGGUUGUAAACUGCUUUUGUACGGAACGAAACGGUCCCUUCUAAUACAGGGGGCUAAUGACG